UUCCUCUCUUCUCAGAUUCAGCAAAACCUAAACUCUUUCACAGAUUCUCUCCACUUCUAUUACCACCGUCCGCCACCCUCCUCCUCCCUCACCGCCGCGCUCUCCCUUCUCACUGCUUCCUGCUUCCCCCUCUCACUCUGAAGGUCACCGCAGCACCGUCGUCGUGCACCUGAGAAACAUGUUCGAGGAGAACGUUGUCAUCGCGUGCCUCACCCAGCCCGAGGAGAAUCGUCAUGUCAGAGGAGAAUCAUCUUCAUCGCCGUCAAGCAAGAUCGUCAGAGUUAGAAUCGUGUUUGUUCGUUCUCUAUCGCCGUCGGCAGCCUCUUCUCUGUUGGCCGCUCUUCUUUCCGAUCCGGAUCACUGCCAGUCAUCAGAUGUUACUUCCCAGUAGCCCUAUAAAACUCUAGACUCGAUAAUAUUUACUACAUAUAAGCCUUUCGUAUUAACGGAAUCGCAUAUGUUAACUUAUUUUUAUCAUAUAGCUUUUUUUAACAAACCUAUUAACAAAACCAUGAACAUCUUCAGAGAUAUACAAUAUAAAAUAAACACCAGACUAACAGCAAAGUCAAAUAACAACAAGAUUACAGAAAAGAUUUCAUACAUAUAUAUGUCUUAAGUUAGUUCAUACAAACUUGACAUGCUUAGAUAGAUAUAUAUAUACAUACAUAUAGACUUAUAUACAACUGACAACUUUCCAGAUACCUGGUUCAUAAAGAAAACUCCUAAGCUGGUACCCGGGCUAAAAGAAAA